rnacentral:rRNA from 1 species
AGAGUUUGAUCAUGGCUCAGAUUGAACGCUGGCGGCAUGCCUUACACAUGCAAGUCGAGCGGCAGCGCGGGGGCAACCCUGGCGGCGAGCGGCGAACGGGUGAGUAAUACAUCGGAACGUGUCCAGUAGCGGGGGAUAACCUGUCGAAAGAUAGGCUAAUACCGCAUACGACCUACGGGUGAAAGCGGGGGACCGCAAGGCCUCGCACUAUUGGAGCGGCCGAUGUCGGAUUAGCUAGUUGGCGGGGUAACGGCCCACCAAGGCGACGAUCCGUAGCUGGUCUGAGAGGACGACCAGCCACACUGGAACUGAGACACGGUCCAGACUCCUACGGGAGGCAGCAGUGGGGAAUUUUGGACAAUGGGCGCAAGCCUGAUCCAGCCAUGCCGCGUGAGUGAAGAAGGCCUUCGGGUUGUAAAGCUCUUUUACCAGGGAUGAUAAUGACAGUACCUGAGAAUAG